AGUACUAACACAUGUACAAACACAUAAACACAUACACACAUUUAUAGUAGAUAAUGGGUAAAAUAUAUGGCUCAAAAAUAAUUUCAAAAAGCACAUAAAAGCUAAACGGAGAUUACCAAAUAAACAAAAAUGUUAAUCAUAAAGGUUUAGAUUUUUCCAGCUUUGCAACUUGGCUCUCCCUUUAUAAUCAACUUUUCAAAAUGAGAUUCAGGACACUUUUUUCCCUCUCAAAAAAGUUAUUACGCCUCAACACAAUUUUGUAUUUCCUUGGUUUCUCUCCCUGACCUGCCCAUGCCCACUUAUCUUGUCAAUGUACAGGUAGGUAUAUCCAUGGUCUCAAAACAAUGUGCUUCUAGUUCAGCUUUCCUUGUCCAACUCUGACUUCUGUUGCACUGCCUUUUUCCUUCCACACAAAACUUAACUUCUUUCCCUUGAUUCUCAACUUGCCUUACUAUAAGAGCUCAGAUAUAACAAAACCCUAUUCCAAAAGAUUUUGUAAACUAAUAGUAACAAUCCAUAUAAGUACUCAAAGACAAGAAUCAAAGGAAGAUCUUAAUUUCCUAUCUCAUUCUUUGAAUCUCCUUGAUCACCACAGAGAAGCUGAGCUGAGCUUGCUGGUAAGGCUGAAUCCUCCUCUACCCCCACUGCACACACUGACAUGCUUAGGCUUUUCCCUCUCUCCUUAAGACAGGAGUAACAUAAGUAACAUGUGUAACAUGCAACCAGGACUCACUACACUGUUACACUUCAACAGCCCUUUGCACAUCUUAUGGAAGACCACACAUUCAAGAUGUACCACAUAAAGAGAACAAACAUGACAGAAAUAGAGCUUAACACAACAUUUGCAUGAAGGUUAUAAGUUGCUCUCAAGUUUCAUGUCUAAAUGCAGAGGAACUUCGCAUCCCAAAAAGUACCAAGGUGCUAAUGUGCCUCAAUUUGACACAUAGCACUGGAGAUGUUUUUUU